AGAAAGAGGGUUGAAACCUUCAUGACAAUGCUAGAGAAUUAACAGUGAGAGAUGCAUUAAGCAACAACACAGUUUUGCCUUUUACAAGCUCCCUGAGGUUUUUAUUUCAGUCAGAGGACCAAGAUUUCAGUUCAAGUCACUGGAAGAAAAGAGCUGUCAUUUAUGGCUGUUACAUAGAGUACUCAAGAAUUUUCUUAAACACAAAAUGGACUAAAUAUGACUAGUGUUUAUACUCAAGUUUGAAGAACAGCAAGAAAGAUGAGGUACAAUACUCAUUAAAAUUUUCAUCAUGCUAAAUUCACAGAAAUACUGAAUAGAAGACAGAAAAAGGGGCAAUGCCAUCAUUAAGGCAAGGUCUCUACUUACAGGUAAAUUGUCUUGUGAUUAUUUCCACAGAACUCUGACUUGGAUAAGGCUUGUAUCCAUUUUAUUACGAUGUUCUUCUUUUUUACAAUUUAGUUCCCCAGAGGGCAAGACCAAGGUACCUAAGAUCGGAACCCUCUGAUAAUUUGUGCUGCUAUUUUAAGAUCCAGUUCCAUUCUACAACUGGCUGAAGCAUGAAGUCAACUAAAAUAAACUGAAUUGAGUGGAACUGAACUGAACUGAAGUGAAAUAAUGUGAUUUCCAGUAAACCUGACACCUUAAGGACAGAACAUGAGCCUUGCCCAUCUUCCUCCCAGAGGUCCCAGCACAAUCACCGACUCACACAAUACUCUCAGUGCAUGAGUGAUGAAUUUCACUAACAGCGACCCAUCUCUCUAC
rnacentral:lncRNA from 1 species